rnacentral:rRNA from 1 species
GAGCCCAAGAUUGAAAGCUGGCGUCUUCGGCGUCCGCAUUGUAAUCUCAAGAAGUGUUUUCCGCUUCGGACCAUGCCUAAGUCCCUUGGAAAAGGGCAUCAUAGAGGGUGAUAAUCCCGUACAUGGCAUGGAGCGCCCGAAGCUUUGUGAUACGCUUUCUAAGAGUCGAGUUGUUUGGGAAUGCAGCUCAAAAUGGGUGGUAAAUGCCAUCUAAGGCUAAAUAUUGGGGAGAGACCGAUAGCGAACAAGUACAGUGAUGGAAAGAUGAAAAGAACUUUGAAAAGAGAGUUAAACAGUACGUGAAAUUGCCAAAAGGGAAGGGUAGGAGGUCAGAGAUGCGGCCUGGGAUUCAGCCUUGCUUUUGCUUGGUGUUUUUCCCAGAUUGCAGGCCAACGUCGGUUUUGGGCACUGGAGAAGGGUAGGAGGAACGUGGCACCCCUCGGGGUGUGUUAUAGCCUCCUACUGGAUACAGCGACCGAGACCGAGGACAGCAGCGUACUCGCAAGAGCGGGCCUUCGGGCACCUUUACGCUUAGGGCGUUGGCAUAAUGGCCCUCUACCACCCGUCUUGA